rnacentral:rRNA from 1 species
UUUGCUGAAGGCAAUGGUUAACGGAGCGAAAGCGACGUUCAACCGCAAAACAAGCAGAGGGGGCUUAGUGGUGGGGUGACUGCGUACCUUUUGUAUAAUGGGUCAGCGACUUAUAUUCUGUAGCAAGGUUAACCGUAUAGGGGAGCCGGAGGGAAACCGAGUCUUAAUUGGGCGUUAAGUUGCAGGGUAUAGACCCGAAACCCGGUGAUCUAGCCAUGGGCAGGUUGAAGGUUGGGUAACACUAACUGGAGGACCGAACCGACUAAUGUUGAAAAAUUAGCGGAUGACCUGUGGCUGGGGGUGAAAGGCCAAUCAAACCGGGAGAUAGCUGGUUCUCCCCGAAAGCUAUUUAGGUAGCGCCUCGUGAAUUCAUCUCCGGGGGUAGAGCACUGUUUCGGCUAGGGGGCCAUCCCGGCUUACCAACCCGAUGCAAACUGCGAAUACCGGAGAAUGUUAUCACGGGAGACACACGGCGGGUGCUAACGUCCGUCGUGAAGAGGGAAACAACCCAGACCGCCAGCUAAGGUCCCAAAGUCAUGGUUAAGUGGGAAACGAUGUGGGAAGGCCCAGACAGCCAGGAUGUUGGCUUAGAAGCAGCCAUCAUUUAAAGAAAGCGUAAUAGCUCACUGGUCGAGUCGGCCUGCGCGGAAGAUGUAACGGGGCUAAACCAUGCACCGAAGCUGCGGCAGCGAACGUAUCACUUAAAGCGAUUCAGCGGGUUACGAUUGACGGAGCGAAGCGACGUCAAAGCGUAUACAAAGUCGAGUCGGUUUAAGGAUACGUUCGUUGGGUAGGGGAGCGUUCUGUAAGCCUGCGAAGGUGGCCUGUGAGGGUUGCUGGAGGUAUCAGAAGUGCGAAUGCUGACAUAAGUAACGAUAAAGCGGGUGAAAAGCCCGCUCGCCGGAAGACCAAGGGUUCCUGUCCAACGUUAAUCGGGGCAGGGUGAGUCGACCCCUAAGGCGAGGCCGAAAGGCGUAGUCGAUGGGAAACGGGUUAAUAUUCCCGUACUUGGUGUUACUGCGAAGGGGGGACGGAGAAGGCUAUGUUGGCCGGGCGACGGUUGUCCCGGUUUAAGCGUGUAGGCUGGUUUUCCAGGCAAAUCCGGAAAAUCAAGGCUGAGGCGUGACGACGAGGCACUACGGUGCUGAAGCAACAAAUGCCCUGCUUCCAGGAAAAGCCUCUAAGCAUCAGGUAACACGAAAUCGUACCCCAAACCGACACAGGUGGUCAGGUAGAGAAUACCAAGGCGCUUGAGAGAACUCGGGUGAAGGAACUAGGCAAAAUGGUGCCGUAACUUCGGGAGAAGGCACGCUGACACGUAGGUGAAGUGAUUUACUCAUGGAGCUGAAGUCAGUCGAAGAUACCAGCUGGCUGCAACUGUUUAUUAAAAACACAGCACUGUGCAAACACGAAAGUGGACGUAUACGGUGUGACGCCUGCCCGGUGCCGGAAGGUUAAUUGAUGGGGUCAGCGCAAGCGAAGCUCCUGAUCGAAGCCCCGGUAAACGGCGGCCGUAACUAUAACGGUCCUAAGGUAGCGAAAUUCCUUGUCGGGUAAGUUCCGACCUGCACGAAUGGCGUAAUGAUGGCCAGGCUGUCUCCACCCGAGACUCAGUGAAAUUGAACUCGCUGUGAAGAUGCAGUGUACCCGCGGCAAGACGGAAAGACCCCGUGAACCUUUACUAUAGCUUGACACUGAACAUUGAGCCUUGAUGUGUAGGAUAGGUGGGAGGCUUUGAAGCGUGGACGCCAGUCUGCGUGGAGCCGACCUUGAAAUACCACCCUUUAAUGUUUGAUGUUCUAACGU